GAUGAACGCUGGCUACAGGCUUAACACAUGCAAGUCGAGGGGAAACGCCGGGGAAGCUUGCUUCCCCGGGCGUCGACCGGCGCACGGGUGAGUAACGCGUAUCCAACCUGCCUCUGACUGAGGGAUAACCCGUCGAAAGUCGGCCUAAUACCUCAUGGCAUCGUCUGCGGGCAUCCAACGACGAUUAAAGAUUUCAUCGGUCAGGGAUGGGGAUGCGUCUGAUUAGCUUGUUGGCGGGGUAACGGCCCACCAAGGCUACGAUCAGUAGGGGUUCUGAGGGGAAGGUCCCCCACAUUGGAACUGAGACACGGUCCAAACUCCUACGGGAGGCAGCAGUGAGGAAUAUUGGUCAAUGGGCGGGAGCCUGAACCAGCCAAGUAGCGUGCAGGAUGACGGCCCUAUGGGUUGUAAACUGCUUUUAGGCGGGGAUAAAGUGAGGGACGUGUCCUUCAUUGCAGGUACCGCAUGAAUAAGGACCGGCUAAUUCCGUG
rnacentral:rRNA from 1 species